CUGCGGAGGGAUCAUUAUAGAGUGUUAAAACUCCCAACCCAUGUGAACUAUACCUUCAGUUGCCUCGGCGCCACCUGGCAACAACGCAAUACAAACCGUACUGCCUUGUGUGCGCCGAUGGCCCCUAAAACUCUGUUUUAUUUUAGAACUCUGAAUACAAAACUUAAUAAGUUAAAACUUUCAACAACGGAUCUCUUGGUUCUGGCAUCGAUGAAGAACGCAGCGAAAUGCGAUAAGUAAUGUGAAUUGCAGAAUUCAGUGAAUCAUCGAAUCUUUGAACGCACAUUGCGCCCAUUAGUAUUCUAGUGGGCAUGCCUGUUCGAGCGUCAUUUCAACCCUUAAGCCUCGUUGCUUAGCGUUGGGAGCCUGUAGCUUCGGCUACAGCUCCUCAAAGUUAGUGGCGGAGUUCAUUCCAACUCUCGGCGUAGUAAUUCAUUCUCGUCUUGUAGUGGUUUGAUCCCCUGCCGUAAAACCCCCUAUUUUUACAGGUUGACCUCGGAUCAGGUAGGAAUACCCGCUGAACUUAAGCAUAUCAU
rnacentral:rRNA from 1 species